rnacentral:rRNA from 2 species
GUGAAUCAUCGAAUCUUUGAACGCAAAUGGCGCUCUUGGGUUCUCCCAGGAGCAUGUCUGUCUGAGUGUCU